rnacentral:pre_miRNA from 1 species
AAAAAGGCAAACCCUAGGUUUCCGUGUCCAACUUUGACUGUCCGUCUUAUAUGAAAUUUUUUUAUAAUUCGUAUUUUCAUUGUUGUUAGAUGAUAAAACAUGAUUAAUAUUUUAUGCGUGACUUGUCUUUUUAAUUUUUUUUUAUAAUUUUUUCAAAUAAGACGAACGGUCAAACAUUGGACACGGAAACCAGGGUUUGUCUUUUU